rnacentral:misc_RNA from 1 species
GUUGCCCCUUUCCGCCCGAUGCCCUUUGUGGGUGUGGGGUGGACGCUAGGCACGCUACGUGUUCCUCGCAUGCCUUGCCUUGUUGCGGGGCUGUUGAGGGUGCACGGAGCUGUUGCCCGUUCUCUCGGAUGCGGAAUGUCAUGCAUGGGUGCGGGGUCUCGACCUUUGCUUUCCCAAGCUACGCAUUUGUCCCUUGACAUGAACGACUGUCGCGGCCAUCUUGAUCCCGUCGUA